UUUUGAGGAAGUGAGCUGCCAUGUACUAGGCCACGUGGCAAGGGCCUGGUUGGGGACCUCCAGGGGUUGAGAGCAUCCUCUGGACAACAUGGAAAAAGAAAAUGAAAAUGGUGACCUCAGCCCUAUAGCUAGAAGGAAUUGAAUCCUGUCAACAACGAUCUAUAGUUAAAAUACAUAGGGAAGGGCUUCAAGAUGGCUGACUAAAGGCACCUAGCACUCGCCUCCUCUGGAAAAAAGGACCAAAACACAACAGGCUAUUGGGUUUGGAGUGAAUUCUCAGAAACAUCACUACUGACAUAACUCCAUAAAGAAUUCAUAAUUUCUACUCACAUGUUUUACCCACAUCAAUAACAGAAUCUCAGGAAAACCAAAGUGGAGUUUACAAUGUUCAUUUUGACACUGUGCAUUAGACUUCUCGACUUCAAGCUACAAAAACCAGCACAGAACCUGGAAAAAUUUUACCUCCUGGCAUUUUUGUUUCUCUACCCUGAUGCUUGUUGUUGAGUUUUACCCAUGCUUUGACCAUCAGCAAAUUGAAGACUCAUCACUCACUGCAGAUGUUACUUUAAGACAUUCUGGAGCAGCGUCAUGUGCAGUCAUGUGAAAGUAUAUUCCAAACCCAGAACCUGAGCACAGAUUGGGACUGAGAAACACUUGUCUAGAUUGUCAGGCAAUCUGUAACAUCAGCAGUGGAUGGAAAGAAGGAGAAAGAUGAGUUUUAUGGACGCUAACCCAUCUAUAUGGCUUUGGAAAAUAAAGUACUGCUGUUUUUUUUUGUAAAGG
rnacentral:lncRNA from 1 species